rnacentral:rRNA from 1 species
GGAAUAUUGGACAAUGGGCGCAAGCCUGAUCCAGCAACUCCGCGUGAGGGAUGAAGGCCCUCGGGUCGUAAACCUCUGUCAGAAGGGAAGAACUCCCUCGAUUCGAAUAGGGUCGGGGGCUGACGGUACCUUCAAAGGAAGCACCGGCUAACUCCGUGCCAGCAGCCGCGGUAAUACGGAGGGUGCAAGCGUUGUUCGGAAUUAUUGGGCGUAAAGCGGGUGUAGGCGGCUUUGCAAGUCAGAUGUGAAAUCCCUGGGCCCAACCCAGGAACUGCAUUUGAUACUGCAUCGCUAGAGUCCCGGAGAGGGUGGCGGAAUUCCAGGUGUAGAGGUGAAAUUCGUAGAUAUCUGGAGGAACACCAGUGGCGAAGGCGGCCACCUGGACGGUGACUGACGCUCAGACCCGAAAGCGUGAGGAGCAAAC